AACACAUGCAAGUCGAACGAUGAUCCCAGCUUGCUGGGGGAUUAGUGGCGAACGGGUGAGUAACACGUGAGUAACCUGCCCUUGACUCUGGGAUAAGCCUGGGAAACUGGGUCUAAUACCGGAUACGACCAUCUGGCGCAUGUCAUGGUGGUGGAAAGCUUUUGUGGUUUUGGAUGGACUCGCGGCCUAUCAGCUUGUUGGUGGGGUAAUGGCCUACCAAGGCGACGACGGGUAGCCGGCCUGAGAGGGUGACCGGCCACACUGGGACUGAGACACGGCCCAGACUCCUACGGGAGGCAGCAGUGGGGAAUAUUGCACAAUGGGCGCAAGCCUGAUGCAGCGACGCCGCGUGAGGGAUGACGGCCUUCGGGUUGUAAACCUCUUUCAGUAGGGAAGAAACGUAAGUGACGGUACCUGCAGAAGAAGCGCCGGCUAACUACGUGCCAGCAGCCGCGGUAAUACGUAGGGCGCAAGCGUUAUCCGGAAUUAUUGGGCGUAAAGAGCUCGUAGGCGGUUUGUCGCGUCUGCUGUGAAAGACCGGGGCUCAACUCCGGUUCUGCAGUGGGUACGGGCAGACUAGAGUGCAGUAGGGGAGACUGGAAUUCCUGGUGUAGCGGUGAAAUGCGCAGAUAUCAGGAGGAACACCGAUGGCGAAGGCAGGUCUCUGGGCUGUAACUGACGCUGAGGAGCGAAAGCAUGGGGGAGCGAACAGGAUUAGAUACCCUGGUAGUCCAUUGCCGUAAACGUUGGGCACUAGGUGUGGGGGACAUUCCACGUUUUCCGCGCCGUAGCUAACGCAUUAAGUGCCCCCGCCUGGGGAGUACGGCCGCAAGGCUAAACUUCAAAGGAAUUGACGGGGGGCCUGCACAAAGCGGCWGGAAGCAAUGCRGGGU
rnacentral:rRNA from 1 species